AGGCGAGGCGGUCUACGGU
rnacentral:tRNA from 1 species